GGGUCGUUAGCUCAGUCGGUAGAGCACCGGACUUUUAAUCCGUUGGUCGCGCGUUCGAGCCGCGCACGACCCA
rnacentral:tRNA from 1 species